rnacentral:tmRNA from 1 species
GGGGUCGUCUAGAUUCGACGGAAGUUUGAAAGACUUAAGUGGCAAGUCGAAGGUACGCGUUAAGUACACAAAAAAAAUAAUUGGAAACAAAAUUAAAAACGCAUUUGCUUCACUUUUCAGAAGAAACAGUGUAGCUUUCGCCUAAUCAAUUAAUAAGGCAUGCACUUUCUUUUACGUUUUUCCUAUGAAUGUUUAAGAAGGUUCGAUUUAGUAGGAUAUAUUACUAUGAAGCUUAUAAGUAGUAAUGAAAUUUUAUAAGCUUACUAAAAAGUCAGUUGUUAGUUACUUUAUUUUUUAGGACACUUUCUAACUAAAUAAACUUGUAGAUGCUUAAAAUUCUUUAACUUUUCGGACAGGAGUGCAAUUCUCCUCGACUCCACCA